GAUGAACGCUGGCGGCGUGCCUAAUACAUGCAAGUCGAGCGAACAGAUGAGGAGCUUGCUCCUCUGACGUUAGCGGCGGACGGGUGAGUAACACGUGGAUAACCUACCUAUAAGACUGGGAUAACUUCGGGAAACCGGAGCUAAUACCGGCUAAUAUCUUGAACCGCAUGGUUCAAUAGUGAAAGACGGUUUUGCUGUCACUUAUAGAUGGAUCCGCGCCGCAUUAGCUAGUUGGUAAGGUAACGGCUUACCAAGGCGACGAUGAGUAGCCGGCCUGAGAGGGUGAUCGGCCACACUGGAACUGAGACACGGUCCAGACUCCUACGGGAGGCAGCAGUAGGGAAUCUUCCGCAAUGGGCGAAAGCCUGACGGAGCAACGCCGCGUGAGUGAUGAAGGUCUUCGGAUCGUAAAACUCUGUUAUUAGGGAAGAACAAAUGUGUAAGUAACUAUGCACGUCUUGACGGUACCUAAUCAGAAAGCCACGGCUAACUACGUG
rnacentral:rRNA from 1 species